CGUGGCUCCCGGGCGAGGUAGGGAGCGCUGCCCGCCCGCCUCGCUAGUGGAGCGGGCAGGGGCAGCCGGCGGAGAGCGCAGGGAGGUAUCAGGAGUUAAAAUGACAUAGAAAAGUAUUCAAAGUAUGGACUGUGAAAUUAACUCCUUACACGUGAUACUGAAAGAAGGUAAACUGAAACUCCAAAAAUGAUGACCUGCUCAUUGGCAAGUUACAGGAAAAGCAAGGCAACUAAAUAAGCACUGUGGUAUGAGGAUUUAGUCAGAUAAACUGUCCAAAAGAGCUGUUUACCUGGAGGCUGUUAUAUUAAAUUAUUGAGCUCUGCACUGUGUGACUCUCACUAAUACCCCAACACAUCUGCAUAUGAAAUGCUUCAAAAGAAGGAACUGCUGUGGCUUAUUUGUGACUGAAGUGAAUUACAUUGGAUAUAAAAGAGUAAUGCAGGGUGCAGAGAGCAGUGCAGCUUGAGCAGUCUUACCACACCAAUGGAAAAAACUUCUGGUUUGCAGCAAAAUAUGACAUCAAUAUUUUUGCUCAUUGGUCAUCUCAUUGUACUGAUACCUCUCUUCAGUGCUGAAGGGUGUGUUAUUUGUGAUUACUUUGUGCUUGUUGGAGAGCCUAUAGCUAUUACUUGCCCAGUAAUUACAUUGCCAGUGCUUCACUCUGAUUACAAUUUGACAUGGUAUAAAAAUGGUAGUGCUACAGCAGUGACCACAGAGAGAGAUGCCAGGAUCCACCAGCGAGAGGGCUUGCUUUGGUUUAUUCCUGCUAUGCUGGAAGAUUCUGGACUUUAUGAAUGCAAUGUAAGGAGCCUUAACAACUCUAACAAAAAAACUAUAAACUUAACAGUUUUUAAGAACAAUAAUGGAUUGUGUUUUAAUGGAAAAAUGAAGUUUGAACAAAAAGUGACGAGCACGAAUACUGGAAAGAUUAUAUGCCCUGAUCUAGAACAAUUUAAAAAUGAAGACAAUAAUCAGGCUGAAGUACAUUGGUAUAAGGAGUGUAAACCUGGAUUUCUUGAAGACAAGCGACUUCUUUUGGCAGAGGGUGAAAAUGCUGUCUUGAUUCGUAAUGUAACUGUGCAAGACAGAGGAAACUACACGUGCCAGAUGGUGUACACAUAUAUGGGAAAACAAUUUAAUGUUUCAAGAACCAUAAGUCUAGAGGUUAAAGAAAAACCACUGCAGAUGCAACCAGAGUUUAUUUAUCCAAGGAACAAUACAAUUGAAGUAGAACUUGGCUCUCAUAUAGUUAUGGUGUGUAACAUAUCAAGUGGCAUAAAUGGCUUGAUUCCAUUCUGGCAAGUUAAUGAUGAGGAUGUUGAUGUCUUUGAUGAAACCUACAGGGAACAGUUUUAUGAGGAGGGGUUGCCUCAUGGACUUGCUGUAUCUGGAACAAAAUUUAACAUUUCAAAAGUGACAGUAAAGGACUAUGCUCAUAAGUUCUUCUGCCACUUCAUAUAUGGUUCUCAACAAUUCACAGCCUACAUCAAAUUAGAAUACCCAGCUCGAAACAUUCAGGGGUACUUAAUUGGAGGAGGAGUUUCCUUGGUAUUUUUAGUGUUUUUUACUCUCUUUAUCUACAAGAUCUUCAAAAUUGAUAUUGUGCUUUGGUAUCGGGACUCCUGCCAUCCUUUCCUGGGGAAAAAAGUUUCAGAUGAGAAGAUCUAUGAUGCUUAUGUUCUGUAUCCAAAGAACAGAGGAAGCUGCUUGUAUUCAUCAGACAUUUUUGCCCUGAAGAUACUGCCAGAGGUCUUAGAAAGGCAGUGUGGACAUAAGCUCUUCAUACUUGGGAGAGAUGAUUUACCAGGAGAAGCUGUGAUCAGUGUUGCUGAUGAAAAAAUCCGUCAAAGUAGGAGAGUGAUUAUUAUUUUAGUACCAGAGCCCUCCUGUUACAGCAUUCUGGAAGAUGAGUCUGAAAAGCAGCUAGCCAUGCAUAGUGCUCUUAUCCAAGAUGGCAUUAAAGUAAUUCUCAUUGAACUUGAAAAAAUACAAGAUUAUGCAACCAUGCCAGAAUCCAUCAGAUAUAUUAAGCAAAAGCAUGGGGCUAUCCGAUGGAAAGGGGACUUUUCAGAAAGGUCCCACUCAGCAAGAACCAGGUUUUGGAAGAAAGUGCGCUACCAGAUGCCAUCCAGAAAAAGUGGCUCUUUAUCACAAUUGCAUUUGUUAACAAAAGACUUGAAUGUUCCUUAAAUAACAAAUGAGAAAUGACACUUAAUGACUGAUUCAGUUCACACAAUUGGUGAUGGAUUGACUGAAGGUCACAUGUAUCUGUUUUGUGCAAUCUCAUCCAGAUUUACUGGAGUGAAGGUACUAAAGUUUCAUCUACAGAUGUGAAUCUUUUUUACUUCUGGCUGGAUCAACAGAAUACCGUGAAAUAUCGUCAGUAGCACAUGUAGGAAGUACACAAGUACUUUUCCAAGAAUGAUUCUGUGAAAUUCCCUUGUAUUAAAAAAUGAAAGGACAAAAAAUUGUCAAAAACUUGAAGCCAAUGAAGAAAAUUUGAUUUUCUCCCCUGCAAUUAAAGUUUCAAUAUGAAGGGAAUUACACUCAUUAUUGUUGUGAUAUUACAUAAGGUGCAUGGCUGGUGCCAGUAAAUAUUUGUUUCCUUUUUUUUUAAUGAAACGACACAAACAUUUUCUAUGUUACAAGUUUGUUAUUUGCCUUGUUCAGUUUGCGGAAAGAUAAAUCCCCAUGUUACUGCAUCAGUGUGUUAUCAUCCAGGAGAAUUCACAGAAUUCAUAUCCAGGAGAAAAGCUCACAGUCAUGCAGGCCAGCCAACAGAGUUCCAGCGACCUCAAUCCUCCUAAUUACUUCUGCU